UACGGAGGGUGCAAGCGUUAUCCGGAUUCACUGGGUUUAAAGGGUGCGUAGGCGGGUAUUUAAGUCAGUGGUGAAAUCCUAGAGCUUAACUCUAGAACUGCCAUUGAUACUAUUUAUCUUGAAUAUGGUGGAGGUAAGCGGAAUAUGUCAUGUAGCGGUGAAAUGCUUAGAUAUGACAUAGAACACCUAUUGCGAAGGCAGCUUACUACGCAUAUAUUGACGCUGAGGCACGAAAGCGUGGGGAUCAAACAGGAUUAGAAACCCCCGUAGUCC
rnacentral:rRNA from 1 species